GGACCAAGGAGUCUAGCAUGUGCGCGAGUCAUUGGGACUUUGCGAAACCUAAAGGCGAAAUGAAAGUGAAGGCGGGCCUCGCGCCCGCCAAGGGAGGAUGGGCCGUUCCCAGGAACGGCCCCGCACUCCCGGGGCGUCUCCAUCUCAUCGCGAGAAGAGGCGCACCCAGAGCGUACACGCUGGGACCCGAAAGAUGGUGAACUAUGCCUGGUCAGGACGAAGUCAGGGGAAACCCUGAUGGAGGUCCGUAGCGAUUCUGACGUGCAAAUCGAUCGUCGGAACUGGGUAUAGGGGCGAAAGACUAAUCGAACCAUCUAGUAGCUGGUUCCCUCCGAAGUUUCCCUCAGGAUAGCUGGCGCUCGCUUUUAGCGAGUCUCAUCCGGUAAAGCGAAUGAUUAGAGGCAUUGGGGUCGAAACGGCCUCAACCUAUUCUCAAACUUUAAAUGGGUGAGAUCUCCGGCUUGCUCGAACUUGAAGCCGCGAGAUUUGCGGCGGCGUUUCGGCGUCGUCGCUUGAAGGAUCAGAGUGCCAAGUGGGCCACUUUUGGUAAGCAGAACUGGCGCUGUGGGAUGAACCAAACGCAGAGUUAAAGCGCCCAAAUCGACGCUUAUGGGAUACCAUGAAAGGCGUU
rnacentral:rRNA from 1 species